rnacentral:piRNA from 1 species
UGGAGAUGUUCGAAAAUGGAUGGAAGCUGU